rnacentral:misc_RNA from 1 species
AAGUCGUAACAAGGUCUCCGUAGGUGAACCUGCGGAGGGAUCAUUACAGAGUGAAGGGCCUCCGGCCCGACCUCCAACCCAUUGUGAUAUAUACCUCUGUUGCCUCGGGGGCGACCCGGCCCUGGUGCUGGAGCCCCCGAUGGACCACUUAAACACUUGCAUCUAUGCGUCGGAUUAUAAAGUUUAAAUUAUUAAAACUUUCAACAACGGAUCUCUUGGUUCUG